rnacentral:lncRNA from 1 species
UUAUCUUCUUUUCUUUUACAUUUCCCUUUUACUCUUUUUGCCAUAAUCUGUUACAAGCUCCCUAUCUAUUAGACAAAACUAGUAAAUAGUAAAAGGGAGCAUCAUAUCUCUUUUUUUUAAGGUCACCAGGGGGGGAGGCCCAUUGGAAUAGUUUACAUUUGACAUUGAGGAAUACUACAAAAAGUAGGAAAGAAAAAUUGCCAAGCCACGCAUUUGGUAUUCUGGCAAGCUCUCAUGAACCUCAUCUAUGUCUGUCUAGCCAUCUCGAAAAGUUGGCACCAUUGAUCCGCAACUCCUUUUUUCCGUCUCGGCAUUCUAGCCCGCCACAGCAGCAUAGCCGUGUUUCUGCACCCGACGAACACCUAUGCCAGUGUUUUGAGCUCGUUCUGAAAGACUGCGGCGUUCCUGGCCUUCCAUAGCUGCCAGCAGGCUAAGGCAACAAAGGUUGAGAACUCCUGAGUAGGGAUUGUGCUUGUGGGAGUUAAGUUGUGUUAGAAUUGACGUAUAGAAAUAUGAAGUAAACGAAAUCAAUCACAGCGGAGACACACGAUUUAUAUGGAAAACCCCUCCAAUGCGAAGGGGAAAAACCACGGGCGCCAGCUAGCAACUCUUCUCACUAUUUUCAAGUGUCGGGUUACAAGUUACAACACCGUGCGGUGGCUUACAAGAGAAUGAAAUAUAUUGUCAUCUUGGUGGAACUCUAUUCUGAGCAAAUGACUAUUCAUAGCCUAUGCAUGCCAUCCAACAAUAUUACUCCAUGGCUGUGCGCAAGGAGUGUGACGAAGAUCACACAUCUCUCUUGAAGACCAUGACCUUGCGAAUGUCAUGCAACCACAUU